rfam:Lepisosteus oculatus unplaced genomic scaffold TNK20, whole genome shotgun sequence.
GAUGAGGUGGCUGAGUGGUUAAAGCAAUGGAUUACUAAUCCAUUGUGCUCUACACAUGAGGGUUCAAAUCCCAUUCUCAUUG